GGUUAAGCGACUAAGCGUACACGGUGGAUGCCCUGGCAGUCAGAGGCGAUGAAGGACGUGCUAAUCUGCGAAAAGCGUCGGUAAGGUGAUAUGAACCGUUAUAACCGGCGAUGUCCGAAUGGGGAAACCCAGUGUGAUUCGUCACACUAUCGUUAACUGAAUACAUAGGUUAACGAGGCGAACCGGGGGAACUGAAACAUCUAAGUACCCCGAGGAAAAGAAAUCAACCGAGAUUCCCCCAGUAGCGGCGAGCGAACGGGGAGCAGCCCAGAGUCUGAAUCAGCUUGUGUGUUAGUGGAACGGUCUGGAAAGUCCGACGGUACAGGGUGAUAGUCCCGUACACCAAAAUGCACAGGUUGUGAACUCGAAGAGUAGGGCGGGACACGUGGUAUCCUGUCUGAAUAUGGGGGGACCAUCCUCCAAGGCUAAAUACUCCUGACUGACCGAUAGUGAACCAGUACCGUGAGGGAAAGGCGAAAAGAACCCCGGCGAGGGGAGUGAAAAAGAACCUGAAACCGUGUACGUACAAGCAGUGGGAGCACCUUCGGGUGUGACUGCGUACCUUUUGUAUAAUGGGUCAGCGACUUAUAUUCUGUAGCAAGGUUAACCGUAUAGGGGAGCCGCAGGGAAACCGAGUCUUAACUGGGCGUUAAGUUGCAGGGUAUAGACCCGAAACCCGGUGAUCUAGCCAUGGGCAGGUUGAAGGUUGGGUAACACUAACUGGAGGACCGAACCGACUAAUGUUGAAAAAUUAGCGGAUGACUUGUGGCUGGGGGUGAAAGGCCAAUCAAACCGGGAGAUAGCUGGUUCUCCCCGAAAGCUAUUUAGGUAGCGCCUCGUGAACUCAUCUUCGGGGGUAGAGCACUGUUUCGGCUAGGGGGUCAUCCCGACUUACCAACCCGAUGCAAACUACGAAUACCGAAGAAUGUUAUCACGGGAGACACACGGCGGGUGCUAACGUCCGUCGUGAAGAGGGAAACAACCCAGACCGCCAGCUAAGGUCCCAAAGUCAUGGUUAAGUGGGAAACGAUGUGGGAAGGCACAGACAGCCAGGAUGUUGGCUUAGAAGCAGCCAUCAUUUAAAGAAAGCGUAAUAGCUCACUGGUCGAGUCGGCCUGCGCGGAAGAUGUAACGGGGCUAAACCAUGCACCGAAGCUGCGGCAGCGACACUAUGUGUUGUUGGGUAGGGGAGCGUUCUGUAAGCCUGCGAAGGUGUGCUGUGAGGCAUGCUGGAGGUAUCAGAAGUGCGAAUGCUGACAUAAGUAACGAUAAAGCGGGUGAAAAGCCCGCUCGCCGGAAGACCAAGGGUUCCUGUCCAACGUUAAUCGGGGCAGGGUGAGUCGACCCCUAAGGCGAGGCCGAAAGGCGUAGUCGAUGGGAAACAGGUUAAUAUUCCUGUACUUGGUGUUACUGCGAAGGGGGGACGGAGAAGGCUAUGUUAGCCGGGCGACGGUUGUCCCGGUUUAAGCAUGUAGGCUGAUUGUCCAGGCAAAUCCGGAUAAUCAAGGCUGAGGUGUGAUGACGAGGCACUACGGUGCUGAAGUAACAAAUGCCCUGCUUCCAGGAAAAGCCUCUAAGCAUCAGGUAACAUCAAAUCGUACCCCAAACCGACACAGGUGGUCAGGUAGAGAAUACCAAGGCGCUUGAGAGAACUCGGGUGAAGGAACUAGGCAAAAUGGUGCCGUAACUUCGGGAGAAGGCACGCUGGUGUGUAGGUGAAGCCCCUGCGGGUGGAGCUGAGACCAGUCGAAGAUACCAGCUGGCU
rnacentral:rRNA from 1 species